rnacentral:rRNA from 1 species
CACGUAGGGGACGAGCGUUGUCCGGAUUCAUUGGGCGUAAAGCGCGCGUAGGCGGCUCGGAAAGUCGGUCGUGAAAUGCCGGGGCUCAACCCCGGGACUGCGUCCGAUACUCUCGAGCUGGAGGCAGGUAGGGGAGAUCGGAAUUCCUGGUGUAGCGGUGAAAUGCGCAGAUAUCAGGAAGAACACCCCGUGGCUAAGGCGGUUCUCUAGUACGGUACUGACGCUGAGACGCGAAAGCGUGGGGAGCGAACAGG